rnacentral:rRNA from 1 species
CCUACGGGGGGCAGCAGUGGGGAAUAUUGCACAAUGGGGGAAACCCUGAUGCAGCGACGCCGCGUGAGUGAAGAAGUAUUUCGGUACGUACAGCUCUAUCAGCAGGGAAGAAAAUGACGGUACCUGACUAAUAAGCCCCGGCUAACUACGUUACAGCAGCCGCGGUAAUACGUAGGGGGCAAGCGUUCUCCGGAUUUACUGGGUGUAAAGGGGGCGUAGACGGCAGCGCAAGUCUGGAGUGAAAUCCCAUGGCUGAACCAUGGAACUGCUUUGGAAACUGUGCAGCUAGAGUGCAGGAGAGGUAAGCGGAAUGCGUAGUGGAGCGGUGAAAUGCGUAGAUAUUAGGAGGAACACCAGUGGCGAAGGCGGCUUACUGGACUGUAACUGACGUUGAGGCUCGAAAGCGUGGGGAGCAAACAGGAUUAGAUACCCGAGUAGUC